AACGAACGCUGGCGGCAUGCCUAACACAUGCAAGUCGAACGAGACCUUCGGGUCUAGUGGCGCACGGGUGCGUAACGCGUGGGAACCUGCCCUUAGGUUCGGAAUAACUCCCCGAAAGGGGUGCUAAUACCGGAUAAUGUCUUCGGACCAAAGAUUUAUCGCCUUUGGAUGGGCCCGCGUUGGAUUAGCUAGUUGGUAGGGUAAAAGCCUACCAAGGCGACGAUCCAUAGCUGGUCUGAGAGGAUGAUCAGCCACACUGGAACUGAGACACGGCCCAGACUCCUACGGGAGGCAGCAGUGGGGAAUAUUGGACAAUGGGCGAAAGCCUGAUCCAGCAAUGCCGCGUGAGUGAUGAAGGCCUUAGGGUUGUAAAGCUCUUUUACCCGGGAUGAUAAUGACGGUACCGGGAGAAUAAGCUCCGGCUAACUCCGUG
rnacentral:rRNA from 1 species